rnacentral:lncRNA from 1 species
AGUGGAACAUUGAACAACUCAACAGGAACUUACAUCGCAGAGGCCCGGGGCAUUGGCACAUCUUCUCCCCGCAAGGACUGAGGGUGAGCUUGCUAUCCUUGUGGCACAGGGCCUUUUGCAUUGUGGAUGAUGGAGCGGCUCGUAUAGUCCAUAAGUUUUGUGCGUAGCUGUGUACCCUGUCCCUGUGAGCUGGUUCUGCCCGGCACCUCGGUGACCUCGAGGAAAGAAGCUGAGAGACAGAGUCUUGCUUUGUCACCCAGGCUGGAGGGCAG